GAGUGAACGCUGGCGGUAGGCCUAACACAUGCAAGUCGAACGGCAGCACAGUAAGAGCUUGCUCUUACGGGUGGCGAGUGGCGGACGGGUGAGGAAUACAUCGGAAUCUACUUUUUCGUGGGGGAUAACGUAGGGAAACUUACGCUAAUACCGCAUACGACCUACGGGUGAAAGCAGGGGAUCUUCGGACCUUGCGCGAUUGAAUGAGCCGAUGUCGGAUUAGCUAGUUGGCGGGGUAAAGGCCCACCAAGGCGACGAUCCGUAGCUGGUCUGAGAGGAUGAUCAGCCACACUGGAACUGAGACACGGUCCAGACUCCUACGGGAGGCAGCAGUGGGGAAUAUUGGACAAUGGGCGCAAGCCUGAUCCAGCCAUACCGCGUGGGUGAAGAGGGCCUUCGGGUUGUAAAGCCCUUUUGUUGGGAAAGAAAAGCAGCAGGUUAAUACCCCGCUGUUCUGACGGUACCCAAAGAAUAAGCACCGGCUAACUUCGUG
rnacentral:rRNA from 1 species